rnacentral:tRNA from 1 species
GGGGUUGUGGCUCAGUGAUGGAGCACUUGCCUAGCAUGCAUGUGGCACUGGGUUUGAUCCUCAGCACCA